UACGUAGGGUGCAAGCGUUGUCCGGAAUUAUUGGGCGUAAAGAGCUCGUAGGCGGUUUGUUGCGUCGGCUGUGAAAUCCCGAGGCUCAACCUCGGGUCUGCAGUCGAUACGAGCAAACUAGAGUGUUGCAGGGGAGACUGGAAUUCCUGGUGUAGCGGUGAAAUGCGCAGAUAUCAGGAGGAACACCGGUGGCGAAGGCGGGU
rnacentral:rRNA from 1 species